rnacentral:rRNA from 1 species
UGGGGAAUAUUGCACAAUGGAGGGAACUCUGAUGCAGCGACGCCGCGUGAGUGAUGAAGGAAUUCGUUUCGUAAAACUCUGUUCUAUGGGAAGAAAAGGACUGUACCAUAGGAGAAAGCUCCGGCUAAAUACGUGCCAGCAGCCGCGGUAAUACGUAUGGAGCGAGCGUUGUCCGGAAUUAUUGGGCGUAAAGGGUGCGCAGGCGGCUUUACAAGUUGGAUGUGAAAUAUUGUGGCUCAACCACAAACGUGCAUCCAAAACUGCAAAGCUUGAGUUAAGGAGAGGUAAGUGGAAUUCCUGGUGUAGCGGUGGAAUGCGUAGAUAUCAGGAGGAAUACCGCUGGCGAAGGCGACUUACUGGACUUAAACUGACGCUCAGGCACGAAAGCGUGGGGAGCAAACAGG